UGUGCCAGCAGCCGCGGUAAUACGUAGGGCGCAGGCGUUAUCCGGAUUUAUUGGGCGUAAAGGGCUCGUAGGCGGCUCGUCGCGUCCGGUGUGAAAGUCCAUCGCUUAACGGUGGAUCUGCGCCGGGUACGGGCGGGCUGGAGUGCGGUAGGGGAGACUGGAAUUCCCGGUGUAACGGUGGAAUGUGUAGAUAUCGGGAAGAACACCGAUGGCGAAGGCAGGUCUCUGGGCCGUCACUGACGCUGAGGAGCGAAAGCGUGGGGAGUGAACAG
rnacentral:rRNA from 1 species